GUGAACGCUGGCGGUAGGCCUAACACAUGCAAGUCGAACGGCAGCACAGUAAGGGCUUGCUCUUACGGGUGGCGAGUGGCGGACGGGUGAGGAAUACAUCGGAAUCUACUUUUUCGUGGGGGAUAACGUAGGGAAACUUACGCUAAUACCGCAUACGACCUACGGGUGAAAGCAGGGGAUCUUCGGACCUUGCGCGAUUGAAUGAGCCGAUGUCGGAUUAGCUAGUUGGCGGGGUAAAGGCCCACCAAGGCGACGAUCCGUAGCUGGUCUGAGAGGAUGAUCAGCCACACUGGAACUGAGACACGAUCCAGACUCCUACGGGAGGCAGCAGUGGGGAAUAUUGGACAAUGGGCGCAAGCCUGAUCCAGCCAUACCGCGUGGGUGAAGAAGGCCUUCGGGUUGUAAAGCCCUUUUGUUGGGAAAGAAAAGCAGCAGGUUAAUACCCCGCUGUUCUGACGGUACCCAAAGAAUAAGCACCGGCUAACUUCGUG
rnacentral:rRNA from 1 species